AGGAGAGUUUGAUCCUGGCUCAGAUUGAACGCUGGCGGCAGGCCUAAUACAUGCAAGUCGAACGGUAACAUAGGAAAAGCUUGCUUUUCCUGAUGACGAGUGGCGGACGGGUGAGUAAAGUUUGGGAAGCUACCUGAUAGAGGGGGACAACAGUUGGAAACGACUGCUAAUACCGCAUACAGCCUGAGGGUGAAAGCAGCAAUGCGCUAUCAGAUGCGCCCAAAUGGGAUUAGCUAGUAGGUGAGGUAAAGGCUCACCUAGGCGACGAUCUCUAGCUGGUCUGAGAGGAUGAUCAGCCACAUUGGGACUGAGACACGGCCCAGACUCCUACGGGAGGCAGCAGUAGGGAAUAUUGCACAAUGGAGGAAACUCUGAUGCAGCCAUGCCGCGUGUGUGAAGAAGGCCUUCGGGUUGUAAAGCACUUUCGGAGGGGAGGAAAAUGACGUUACCCUCAGAAGAAGCACCGGCUAACUCCGUGCCAGCAGCCGCGGUAAUACGGAGGGUGCAAGCGUUAAUCGGAAUAACUGGGCGUAAAGGGCAUGCAGGCGGUUAAACAAGUAGGAUGUGAAAUCCCCGGGCUCAACCUGGGAGCUGCAUACUAAACUGUUUAACUAGAGUAUUGCAGGGGGAGACGGAAUUCCAGGUGUAGCGGUGGAAUGCGUAGAUAUCUGGAAGAACACCAAAGGCGAAGGCAGUCUCCUGGGCAAAUACUGACGCUCAUAUGCGAAAGCGUGGGUAGCAAACAGGAUUAGAUACCCUGGUAGUCCCCU
rnacentral:rRNA from 1 species